UUACGGCUAUAUCACCAUGAAACAUUGGUUCCGGUACGAUCACCGAAGUUAAGCAAUGUGAAUCCUGGUUAGCACCUAGAUGUGUAACCGCUUGAGAAUACCAGGGGUUGUAGU